rnacentral:rRNA from 1 species
AUUGAACGCUGGCGGCAUGCCUUACACAUGCAAGUCGAACGGUAACAGGUCUUCGGAUGCUGACGAGUGGCGAACGGGUGAGUAAUAUAUCGGAACGUGCCCAGUCGUGGGGGAUAACGCAGCGAAAGCUGUGCUAAUACCGCAUACGAUCUAUGGAUGAAAGCGGGGGAUCGCAAGACCUCGCGCGAUUGGAGCGGCCGAUAUCAGAUUAGGUAGUUGGUGGGGUAAAGGCCCACCAAGCCAACGAUCUGUAGCUGGUCUGAGAGGACGACCAGCCACACUGGAACUGAGACACGGUCCAGACUCCUACGGGAGGCAGCAGUGGGGAAUUUUGGACAAUGGGCGCAAGCCUGAUCCAGCAAUGCCGCGUGCAGGAUGAAGGCCUUCGGGUUGUAAACUGCUUUUGUACGGAACGAAAAGGACUCUGGUUAAUACCUGGGGCUCGAUGACGGUACCGUAAGAAAUAAGCACCGGCUAACUACGUGCCAGC